rnacentral:rRNA from 1 species
ACGGGGCCCGCACGAAGCGGUGGAGCAUGUGUUAAUUCGACGCAACGCGAAGAACCUUACCGAGGGCUUGACACUCCCUGACCGCGUAUGAAAGUACGUUUUCACCCUCGGGUGACAGGGAGACAGGUGGUGCAUGGUUGUCGUCAGCUCGUGUCGUGAGAUGUUGGGUUAAGUCCCGCAACGAGCGCAACCCCUACGUUUAGUUGCUAACGCGUGAAGGCGAGCACUCUAGACGAACUGCCGUUGACAAAACGGAGGAAGGUGGGGAUGACGUCAAAUCAUCAUGCCCCUUAUGUUCUGGGCUACACACGUGCUACAAUGGCCGGUACAGACGGACGCAAAGCCGCGAGGUGGAGCAAAUCCUAAAAAGCCGGUCUCAGUUCGGAUUGCAGGCUGCAAUUCGCCUGCAUGAAGUCGGAAUCGCUAGUAAUCGCAGGUCAGCAUACUGCGGUGAAUACGUUCCCGGGCCUU